GAAUUUUGGACAAUGGGCGCAAGCCUGAUCCAGCCAUGCCGCGUGCAGGAUGAAGGCCUUCGGGUUGUAAACUGCUUUUGUACGGAACGAAAAGGUUGUCUCUAAUAAAGACGGCUCAUGACGGUACCGUAAGAAUAAGCACCGGCUAACUACGUGCCAGCAGCCGCGGUAAUACGUAGGGUGCAAGCGUUAAUCGGAAUUACUGGGCGUAAAGCGUGCGCAGGCGGUGAUGUAAGACAGUUGUGAAAUCCCCGGGCUCAACCUGGGAACUCCAUCUGUGACCGCAUCGCUGGAGUGCGGCAGAGGGGGAUGGAAUUCCGCGUGUAGCAGUGAAAUGCGUAGAUAUGCGGAGGAACACCGAUGGCGAAGGCAAUCCCCUGGGCCUGCACUGACGCUCAUGCACGAAAGCGUGGGGAGCAAACAGG
rnacentral:rRNA from 1 species